rnacentral:rRNA from 1 species
AUUGAACGCUGGCGGCAGGCUUAACACAUGCAAGUCGAGCGGGGAAGGGUAGCUUGCUACCUAACCUAGCGGCGGACGGGUGAGUAAUGCUUAGGAAUCUGCCAUUUAGUGGGGGACAACAUUCCGAAAGGAAUGCUAAUACCGCAUACGUCCUACGGGAGAAAGCAGGGGAUCUUCGGACCUUGCGCUAAAUGAUGAGCCUAAGUCGGAUUAGCUAGUUGGUGGGGUAAAGGCCUACCAAGGCGACGAUCUGUAGCGGGUCUGAGAGGAUGAUCCGCCACAAUGGGACUAAGACACGGCCCAGACUCCUACGGGAGGCAGCAGUGGGGAAUAUUGGACAAUGGGCGGAAGCCUGAUCCAGCCAUGCCGCGUGUGUGAAGAAGGCCUUAUGGUUGUAAAGCACUUUAAGCGAGGAGGAGGCUACUAGUAUUAAUACUACUGGAUAGUGGACGUUACUCGCAGAAUAAGCACCGGCUAACUCUGUGCCAGCCGCCGCCGUAA